ACCCAAGAGGGCAGUAAAGGUGCUGAAAGCUGUGAGAAAGCAGAUAUCUCCUGUCCUGAAAAAGGCACAUCUUAAUGUUACAAAAACAGUAGAGGUUUCUGAAGGUCCUAAGCUGAAAGCCAAAGCUGAACCAGAAAAGAAGGUGGCAGCUCCAAAACAGCCGAAGGAACUGAAAGAAAAAACCAAACCACCUGUAAAGACAGAACUUCCAAAAGAAAAAGCUAAAGCAGCACCUGCUAAGAAAG